rnacentral:rRNA from 1 species
AGAGUUUGAUCCUGGCUCAGGAUGAACGCUGGCGGCGUGCCUAAUACAUGCAAGUCGAGCGAACGGANCCGCAUGGUUCAAAAGUGAAAGACGGUCUUGCUGUCACUUAUAGAUGGAUCCGCGCUGCAUUAGCUAGUUGGUAAGGUAACGGCUUACCAAGGCAACGAUGCAUAGCCGACCUGAGAGGGUGAUCGGCCACACUGGAACUGAGACACGGUCCAGACUCCUACGGGAGGCAGCAGUAGGGAAUCUUCCGCAAUGGGCGAAAGCCUGACGGAGCAACGCCGCGUGAGUGAUGAAGGUCUUCGGAUCGUAAAACUCUGUUAUUAGGGAAGAACAUAUGUGUAAGUAACUGUGCACAUCUUGACGGUACCUAAUCAGAAAGCCACGGCUAACUACGUGCCAGCAGCCGCGGUAAUACGUAGGUGGCAAGCGUUAUCCGGAAUUAUUGGGCGUAAAGCGCGCGUAGGCGGUUUUUUAAGUCUGAUGUGAAAGCCCACGGCUCAACCGUGGAGGGUCAUUGGAAACUGGAAAACUUGAGUGCAGAAGAGGAAAGUGGAAUUCCAUGUGUAGCGGUGAAAUGCGCAGAGAUAUGGAGGAACACCAGUGGCGAAGGCGACUUUCUGGUCUGUAACUGACGCUGAUGUGCGAAAGCGUGGGGAUCAAACAGGAUUAGAUACCCUGGUAGUCCACGCCGUAAACGAUGAGUGCUAAGUGUUAGGGGGUUUCCGCCCCUUAGUGCUGCAGCUAACGCAUUAAGCACUCCGCCUGGGGAGUACGACCGCAAGGUUGAAACUCAAAGGAAUUGACGGGGACCCGCACAAGCGGUGGAGCAUGUGGUUUAAUUCGAAGCAACGCGAAGAACCUUACCAAAUCUUGACAUCCUUUGACAACUCUAGAGAUAGAGCCUUCCCCUUCGGGGGACAAAGUGACAGGUGGUGCAUGGUUGUCGUCAGCUCGUGUCGUGAGAUGUUGGGUUAAGUCCCGCAACGAGCGCAACCCUUAAGCUUAGUUGCCAUCAUUAAGUUGGGCACUCUAAGUUGACUGCCGGUGACAAACCGGAGGAAGGUGGGGAUGACGUCAAAUCAUCAUGCCCCUUAUGAUUUGGGCUACACACGUGCUACAAUGGACAAUACAAAGGGCAGCGAAACCGCGAGGUCAAGCAAAUCCCAUAAAGUUGUUCUCAGUUCGGAUUGUAGUCUGCAACUCGACUACAUGAAGCUGGAAUCGCUAGUAAUCGUAGAUCAGCAUGCUACGGUGAAUACGUUCCCGGGUCUUGUACACACCGCCCGUCACACCACGAGAGUUUGUAACACCCGAAGCCGGUGGAGUAACCUUUUAGGAGCUAGCCGUCGAAGGUGGGACAAAUGAUUGGGGUGAAGUCGUAACAAGGUAGCCGUAUCGGAAGGUGCGGCUGGAUCACCU